GACAGAGGAUGCAAGCGUUAUCCGGAAUGAUUGGGCGUAAAGCGUCUGUAGGUGGCUUUUUAAGUCCGCCGUCAAAUCCCAGGGCUCAACCCUGGACAGGCGGUGGAAACUACCAAGCUGGAGUACGGUAGGGGCAGAGGGAAUUUCCGGUGGAGCGGUGAAAUGCGUAGAGAUUAGGAAGAACACCAGUGGCGAAGGCGACUUACUGGACUGUAACUGACGCUGGAGGCAUGAAAGCGUGGGGGAGCAAA
rnacentral:rRNA from 1 species